CAGCAAACGAUCUGAAAACCACAACUUUAAAGUAAACCAACACAUAAGCUAGUAACGUAUAAACAACUUAACGACACCCAACACCGCAAGGGCCCAUAAACCUACCUCAAAGAAGAAAUAAAUCCCCCUACCUUUUGCAUCAUGUAGUUGCAACAAAACCUAGCCAACCCGCUGCUUCCCGAAAAGUGAAGAGCUAUUACCAGCACCCACCAAUUAGUGUAUCAUUACUAAACCGCAGCAGAUAAUAGAAGCAAAAUACCUUACGAGUCACUUGAUAACUGGUUGUCCCUUAAAAACAUAUAAGUGUUCCCUGGUAGAUAAACUCAAAACCUAAGAUACCAGAAGCAACCCAGUGGGGAUAAGCUCGCUGUGUUUAACCCGAAAAACACCCGACAAAGCUACUGUAAGUAGGCUUAAAACCAGCCAACAAAAUCCGUUAUAGGGGUCAUACAGUCAACAAAUAAUAUACACCGAAAACUUCUAAAGACAAGGAACCCUAAGGAUUAACCAACACCUUAAUGAACCGGCAACCUAUUAGUAUCUGAACUUACCUAAAGAGCAAAUGUAAAUAAGAGCUCAACAAACACAAGCAAGUAAAUUCACUACCACAAACAAUGAACUCGGCAAAACUCCUCCCCGCCUGUUUACCAAAAACACCGUCUUUUGGGUGAUAAACAUAAAAGAUACUGCCUGCCCAAUGAUUUAACUAUUAAAUGGCCGCGUUAGCGUGAGCGUGCUAAGGUAGCGUAAUAAACAGCUCCCCAAUUAGGAGCCAGUGAAAGGCAAAACGGGAAAGAACUGUGUCAUUUGUGUAAAGAAAAUUUUUCGUCUAAGUGAAAAGACUUAGAUAAAAGAGAAAGACAAAAAGACCCCGCGGAACUCCCCUCAAAACCCAGGUUAACAAUACAAGCCAAAAAUCUUUGAGGUUGGUUGGGGCAACCUUGGAGCAAACAAAACCUCCAAACAUCUAUUAAAACCUAUCCAAAAUUAGCUAUAGUCUAUACAGCAGUUACCCCGGGGAUAACAGCGUAAUCCAGCUUAAGAGUACACAUCGAAAGCUGGGUUUGCGACCUCGAUGUUGGCUUAGGGAAGCAACUUGGCGCAGCCACUAAGAGCACUGCCAGUCUGUUCGACUGCAAACCCCCUACACGAGCUGAGUUAAGACCGGCGAGAGCUAGGUUGGAUUCUAUCUUCUCCGUUAAACAGCACUCUUUAUUGUACGAAAGGACCCAAAGAGGCACACCCCCUAAGUGCCAAUUAAAAUAUUCCAUCUGAUCCCACGCACUGCAACAUU
rnacentral:rRNA from 1 species